UACGUAGGGACCGAGCGUUGUCCGGAAUCAUUGGGCGUAAAGAGCGUGUAGGCGGCCUUUUAAGUCCUGCGUGAAAUCCUGCGGCUCAACCGCAGACGGUCGUGGGAAACUGGAAGGCUAGAGUGCGGGAGAGGAGAGUGGAAUUCCCGGUGUAGCGGUGAAAUGCGCAGAUAUCGGGAAGAACACCCGUGGCGAAGGCGGUUCUCUGGGACGGUACUUACGCUGAGACGCGAAAGCGUGGGGAGCGAACAGG
rnacentral:rRNA from 1 species